rfam:Candidatus Beckwithbacteria bacterium RIFCSPHIGHO2_12_FTLL_47_17 rifcsphigho2_12_scaffold_24062, whole genome shotgun sequence.
GGAACCGUAGCGCAGUUGGUUAGCGCGCUUCAUUCACAUUGAAGAGGCCAUAGGUUCAAAUCCUAUCGGUUCCA